UAGUCCACGCCGUAAACGAUGUCUACUUGGAGGUUGUGGCCUUGAGCCGUGGCUUUCGGAGCUAACGCGUUAAGUAGACCGCCUGGGGAGUACGGUCGCAAGAUUAAAACUCCAAUGAAUUGACGGGGGCCCGCACAAGCGGUGGAGCAUGUGGUUUAAUUCGAUGCAGCGCGAAGAACCUUACCUACUCUUGACAUCCAGAGAAGCCAGCGGAGACGCAGGUGUGCCUUCGGGAACUCUGAGACAGGUGCUGCAUGGCUGUCGUCAGCUCGUGUUGUGAAAUGUUGGGUUAAGUCCCGCAACGAGCGCAACCCUUGUCCUUAGUUGCCAGCGCGUAAUGGCGGGGACUCUAGGGAGACUGCCGGUGACAAACCGGAGGAAGGUGGGGAUGACGUCAAGUCAUCAUGGCCCUUAUGGGUAGGGCUACACACGUGCUACAAUGGCCGGUACAGAGGGCAGCGAACUCGCGAGGGUAAGCAAAUCUCAGAAACCGGUCGUAGUCCGGAUCGG
rnacentral:rRNA from 1 species